GAGGAUUUAGCUUAAUAAAAGUACUUGAUUUGCAGUCAGGUGAUGUAGAUUAGAUUUUUACAAUCCUUA
rnacentral:tRNA from 1 species